GGCAGUGUGGCCUAGUGGGUGGAGUGCUGGACUAGGACUCGAGAGGCCAGGGUUCAAAUCCACACUCAGCCA